AUGCAGGAAGACAUGGCGUAUGCAAGUGAUGAGAGUAUGUUCGAGUAUGUAAAUGUUGUCAGCAAGAUGUUUGAUAGUGAGGCUGAAGGCUAUGAAUUCUACAACAAAUAUGCUCUUGAAAAAGGUUUUAGUGUGAGGAAAAGCUACGUUGAGUGGGAUGGAUCCAACAAAUACAUAAUUUUAAGGAAAAUUGUGUGUAGUCGUCAAGGGUUUCGCGAAGAUAAGCACAUGAAAAGAAAGAUGGAAGAUAGAAAGAGGAGGCCACGAAGUUUAACUCGUGUUGGGUGUAAUGCUAAAUUGGUCAUUACGAGACAGGAGGAAACCGGUCGGUGGUUUGUCAAGGAUUUCAUCGAUGAGCACAGCCAUCCUCUAGCCCCACGGGAUCUUUCUUGUCUGCUGCGUUCGCACAGACGAAUUAGCGAUGAGCAGAAAGCGUACAUUGCGGACAUGGAAAAAUGUGGGAUCCGUAAAUACCGUAUUAUGGAUAUUUUGUGCUUUCAAUACGGUGGAUUUGAUAAGGUUGGAUGCAUAAAGAGGGACAUUUACAAUUUCUGCUAUGCUAAUAAGCAGGAGACAAUCAGUGCCGGUGAUGCUAAAACGGUGAUCAUGCACAUGAUGGCGAGGCGAGAGCGAGAUGUGGAUUUUUUUCUUCAAGUACUUGGUAGACGAGCAUGGCCAUCUGAAGGGACUGUUCUGGGCUGA
rnacentral:rRNA from 1 species